rfam:Pseudomonas fluorescens HK44 Contig4, whole genome shotgun sequence.
AAGAGCCGUAUGACGGGAGACUGUCACGUACGGUUCUGUGAGCAGCCGAGGGGUGAAAUUUCCUUCGGCUGACUCGAC